rnacentral:lncRNA from 1 species
CGGGGGCCGCCCGGGGCUGCUCCGGUAAGGGGUCCGACCGCGGGCGGAGAGCGCCAAGCCGUGGAGGAGCGGGCGUCAGGUGCAGAACUUCUGUAAGGUCUGGAAGCCGGACGUGCGUGGACGUUCAUACGCACGGACCUGAAGUUACGGAGGUCGCACUCACAGGCCGUUCUGCUGCACAGACCGGAGCCCCCGCUGCCAGUGUGUGUCCACCUGUACAGAUCCCAACUGAAAAGGCACUGUUUCGAAGAAGAUCCUCUUGGCACACCUGUGUAUUGGGAGACAACAAAGGAGUACACUCUAAAGGUAAUACACAUGCUGCACAGCCAACAGGCAGGAGCCAGUUCUGGAGUUAAUAGGCAAACAAGGCCGCCAGCAUUUUAAAGAGCUUGUCAACUGGAAGCAACAUUUAUCUAAGUUAUGGCAUUAAUUCAGUGUUGACUACUUGUUGAUACAAAGCAUAAGAAUUUGGGGUAAAUAACAACACAAAUAAUGACCACCACAGUAUCAGAAUAUAGUAUAAGUACAAUGGGAUAUAUACAACUGAGAUUAGGAGGUCAAGAUAAUACAAGAAAGGCCAGCUAAAAACUCAUUUACUGCUCUAGAUGUGCUAUAUUUGGAAAUUAAAAGUAUAGUGGUACUGAUGGCAGAAAACACUCCAUAAUAUUCUAACAUAUUUCACAGUUUCAGUAUGUAUCAAUGCAUAGUAAAAGAAUAUAUACUCCUAUUCUAACUAAAUACUCAUUCAGAACUAUUAUUUUUGUCCUCCCAGAAAAUUCCCAACAUGGGGAAUCAAGAUACAUCUGAAUAGCAAGAUCUGAAUAUCUGUCUUGAAUGAAAACAAACAUUGAAAACAGAAGAUGGAAGUCUGAUGUAGGUCAGAAUAGAGCAUCUUCUCAAUGUCCCCUUUCUUUUGGGGGUGCUAUACCUGCCAACUGCAUUUCCCCAAAAUGAUAUUUUAACACAAGUUAAUGUGCUCCUAUUUCAGAGUUAUAUAUGAUGUUUCCUACUUGAGAAGAAUUACACAAAUUCAGCAUUAAAGACAACACAUCAAGGCUUCUGAAGCUUAUACAGGACCCAGAUAUUCCUGAUGUCUCUGGAAAGCUCCUUUGCUAUGAAAAGGAUAAUUACAAUGCAACCCCUGAAAGAACUCGAGAAAUAAACAUUUACAUCAACCUGUCAUGCUUUGACUUCUGAAUAGGUCAGAUUUCAUUCCCAUCAGUUUGCGAAGUGCUGAGCAUAUUACCACCUGCAACGUAAGUGUAAAAUAGUAUUAGUUGCAGAAAUAACUCAGGCUCUGCUUUAUGACUUCACAGAAAAUGAAGCCCAUGAUGACUUUUUCAUAAAUCUAAAUUACUUUUCCAAUGGAAAAUUACAAUUCUAGUAUAAAUAAUCUUGCUACACACAUACACAUAUUUCUAUGGAUAACUUAUUUCCUGGUAGUUAAAAAUACAGGUUGAGUGAACAGUCUUCAGCAAAAGAAUACAGUUCCGCCAUUUGUGCCUGUCUUGCAGCUCUUUUAUUGUGUUAGCAAUUUAAAAUUCUCUUUGAAGACUGUCAGUGGAUUUCCAUCUAAAAUAUAUCAUAGCCCAU